rnacentral:rRNA from 1 species
UGGUGGCGACCGGCGAACGGGUGAGUAACGCGUAGGAAUCUACCUAAUAGAGGGGGAUAGCCCGGGGAAACUCGGAUUAAUACCGCAUACGCCCUACGGAUGAAAGCGGGGGACCUUCGGGCCUCGCGCGAUUGGAGCGGCCGAUGUUAGAUUAGGUAGUUGGUGGGGUAAAGGCUCACCAAGCCGACGAUCCGUAGCUGGUCUGAGAGGACGACCAGCCACACUGGAACUGAGACACGGUCCAGACUCC